CCUACGGGUGGCAGCAGUGAGGAAUAUUGGUCAAUGGACGAGAGUCUGAACCAGCCAAGUAGCGUGAAGGAUGACUGCCCUAUGGGUUGUAAACUUCUUUUAUAUGGGAAUAAAAUGUUCCACGUGUGGGAUUUUGUAUGUACCAUAUGAAUAAGGAUCGGCUAACUCCGUUCCAGCAGCCGCGGUAAUACGGAGGAUCCGAGCGUUAUCCGGAUUUAUUGGGUUUACAGGGAGCGUAGGUGGAUUGUUAAGUCAGUUGUGAAAGUUUGCGGCUCAACCGUAAAAUUGCAGUUGAAACUGGCAGUCUUGAGUACAGUAGAGGUGGGCGGAAUUCGUGGUGUAGCGGUGAAAUGCUUAGAUAUCACGAAGAACUCCGAUUGCGAAGGCAGUUCACUGGACUGCAACUGACACUGAGGCUCGAAAGUGUGGGUAUCAAACAGGAUUAGAUACCCCAGUAGUC
rnacentral:rRNA from 1 species